CUCGUAGGUGGUUUGUCGCGUCGUCUGUGAAAUUCCGGGGCUUAACUCCGGGCGUGCAGGCGAUACGGGCAUAACUUGAGCACUGUAGGGGAGACUGGAAUUCCUGGUGUAGCGGUGAAAUGCGCAGAUAUCAGGAGGAACACCGGUGGCGAAGGCGGGUCUCUGGGCAGUAACUGACGCUGAGGAGCGAAAGCAUGGGUAGCGAACA
rnacentral:rRNA from 1 species